GGAGAGAUGCAGGAGUGGUUUAACUGGCACGCCUGGAAAGCGUGUGUCCCGCGAGAAGCGGGACCGGGGGUUCGAAUCCCCCUCUCUCCGCAA
rnacentral:tRNA from 1 species